AGCUCGGCUGCGCGGCGUGGUCAGCAACACGAAGGCAGGGGGUUGCCGAACCAGCACGUAGAGGGCGAGCCGUAGAAGUAGGUAGUUCCGUGCAGUAGGUAAACCGUACCGUGGAGUAGUAGCGUGGACCUUGGAGUAGUAGCGUGGACCUUGGACCCUGGAAAAGAUGGAAAUCCAACGCAUCAGUACACCGUUAUCGUCUAGGUUCCACAUACCGUCAUCAAGACCUACAGCAGAGUACCUAAUCUAGCUUGAUUGAGGCGGCAGUGGAAACCAGAACGGAAUACCUAACAUAAAUUAAAGAUAA